GGUUAUGGCUCAGCGGUAGAGCGCUCGCCUCCACAUGCAAGGUCCUGGGUUCGAGCCUCAGCACCA
rnacentral:tRNA from 1 species